AGCCGUAGAGGAUGGAAAGGUUUCCGUCGCGCCCUCGUGGUAGAAAGAGAUGUGGGAUACGCCGCCCCACCUACGGCU
rnacentral:ncRNA from 1 species